CGCACUGAAAGGUAACAAAGUUACCUGUAGUGGGCAGUCAAACUGGAAGUCAACACUUCCGGGCCUUUAGCUGUCUGCAACAUGAGUUUAUAAUAGUAAUCUGAGAUUAUACUGUCGGUCUGGCUGGAGCCUAAUCUGGUCCAGCUACUCACAGGCGAGAAGAUGAGAUGAGAGAUGAGGAAAAAGUGAUUGACUUGCAUGAUGGAGAAAGAUAUGGGGGAGAAAGAGGCUGGUGGAAAAAAAAAAACUAGCACAUGAGUUGUUUUGUAAUGUCAGAUAUACGUUCAAACUCAACUUUCUGCCCUGAAGAAUGUGAGGACCGCAGGCAUUCCUAUUAAGAUUAUCAUAAAUCCCAUUCCCUGUCUCUCACAUAAUGUCCGACUAAUGUCUGAAGAUUGCAUGAGACACCUAAACGUUGAGUGUCGACACUGAGUCAAGUACCUUUGAAAAGAAGCCACUUCACACACACUUCAGAGUAAUUCUUCACAGAGGUGAAACAGAUACACAGAAAGGCACAAAAGAAAGCUUGGCUUUCUCAAGAAAUGUCAAGGGUCUUUGUAUGACCCAUAAUAAAUGGUGUUUUUGGAGGUUUUCUUCCCCAUAACUGGCACACACAUAGACAAACUCACACUGCAGCAGAAGUCCACUAUGCUACAACACCCACUCCAAAGUGUAAAAGAGAGAAAACCCAGCUCCAAUUCACAGGAGGACUCCCACUCUCAGCUCUUAUACAACUGCCUCCCCCUCCACGAGUGCAAGUAGUGUGUGUGUGUGACGCAUAGGAGGGAGACGACACUUCAUCCUACACAUGCACAUCUCAACUGACACUGAACCACUCACACACACACAUAUACGAGCGCGGAGCACGAGGCUGUCACCAAAGCACACGGCUCCGGCAGUGUAGAAACCCCACACGGCAGCCUCGCAGAGCGGGAGAGCAAGCCAGACGUCGAGAUGUGAAGAUGGAGACAGACGAGAAAGCAUGCGAGAGCGUCAGAGGGCGAAUCAGAGGAGGGAAAAGAGUGCAAGAUGUUUUGACACCGGUGUUUGUCUCCAUUAAAUGAGUCUGGCUGAAAGGUCUCAGGGGGGCACCUGAGCACAAUUCUGGCUGAGGACAGCAGAGCAGAAGGUGUGUGAGAAGCAUUGUGGCUCCAUCCUGCUUUUCCCUGUCCUGAACAACUGUGCGUGGUCGGGUCGGUUCUUCCUCCGCACAGAGCACUUCAAGAGCUGAGAGCCAGAGCUGUUGCCAUGGCAGCACUGGAUGAACGGAGGCGCUUGUAGGACCAUGACGUAUGACAUCUGCAGCGUCUCCGUUCACACAAGCCUACCACAAACCCGCCGACAGACGCCUACAUCCGCCAAGACCAGAGCACCAUUCACACACAGACGAAGCAGCAGCCACGAACAAAACGUCUCCCAGUAUUUCACGGAACCAUUUAACACGACUCCACCGCAGACCUGCCAAACACGCCUACGUCCUGCGAUACAAUAAAACAAAAAAACUCUCCCAGCCCCGCAAACGGCUGUAUCUUAUCCUCCUCUCUCUUCCUCUGUCCUGUGCACCCACACAAACCUACUUACACAGCUGCACUAAGAAGUGCUGUAUGUGUUACGGACAUAAGUCAUCAUCUGCAAGCCAUCCACACACAUGGCAAAGAGACAAACCAAGAUCAGAAAGGUCUGGGGCAAAAGACAGCAAAUACCUGUUUGUUAAUAUGUGACAGUCUGAGCCGUCAUGCCUUUCAUACAAAUAAACAUUUGUAUUAUUUA